CCUACGGGUGGCAGCAGUGGGGAAUAUUGCACAAUGGGGGAAACCCUGAUGCAGCGACGCCGCGUGCGUGAAGAAGUACUUCGGUAUGUAAAGCUCUAUCAGCAGGGGAGAAAAUUACGGUACCUGAGUAAGAAGCCCCGUCUAACUACGUGCCAGCAGCCGCGGUAAUACGUAGGGGGCAAGCGUUAUCCGGAUUUACUGGGUGUAAAGGGAGCGUAGACGGCAGUGCAAGUCUGGAGUGAAAUGCCGGGGCUCAACCCCGGAACUGCUGUGGAAACGGUACUGCUUGAGUGCAGGAGAGGUAAGUGGAAUUCCUAGUGUAGCGGUGAAAUGCGUAGAUAUUAGGAAGAACACCAGUGGCGAAGGCGGCUUACUGGACUGUAACUGACGUUGAGGCUCGAAAGCGUGGGGAGCAAACAGGAUUAGAUACCCGUGUAGUC
rnacentral:rRNA from 1 species